GACGAACGCUGGCGGCGUGCCUAAUACAUGCAAGUCGAACGCUGAAGGAGGAGCUUGCUUCUCUGGAUGAGUUGCGAACGGGUGAGUAACGCGUAGGUAACCUGCCUGGUAGCGGGGGAUAACUAUUGGAAACGAUAGCUAAUACCGCAUAAGAGUAGAUGUUGCAUGACAUUUGCUUAAAAGGUGCAAUUGCAUCACUACCAGAUGGACCUGCGUUGUAUUAGCUAGUUGGUGGGGUAACGGCUCACCAAGGCGACGAUACAUAGCCGACCUGAGAGGGGGAUCGGCUACACUGGGACUGAGACACGGCCCAGACUCCUACGGGAGGCAGCAGUAGGGAAUCUUCGGCAAUGGACGGAAGUCUGACCGAGCAACGCCGCGUGAGUGAAGAAGGUUUUCGGAUCGUAAAGCUCUGUUGUAAGAGAAGAACGAGUGUGAGAGUGGAAAGUUCACACUGUGACGGUAGCUUACCAGAAAGGGACGGCUAACUACGUG
rnacentral:rRNA from 1 species